UACGAAGGGGGCUAGCGUUGCUCGGAAUCACUGGGCGUAAAGCGCACGUAGGCGGCUUUCUAAGUCAGGGGUGAAAUCCUGGAGCUCAACUCCAGAACUGCCUUUGAUACUGGAAAGCUUGAGUUCGAGAGAGGUGAGUGGAACUGCGAGUGUAGAGGUGAAAUUCGUAGAUAUUCGCAAGAACACCAGUGGCGAAGGCGGCUCACUGGCCCGGUACUGACGCUGAGGUGCGAAAGCGUGGGGAGCAAACAGG
rnacentral:rRNA from 1 species